UACGUAGGUGACAAGCGUUGUCCGGAUUUACUGGGUGUAAAGGGCGCGUAGGCGGAUAAGCAAGUCAGUCGUGAAAUACCGGGGCUCAACCCCGGGGCUGCGAUUGAAACUGUUUACCUUGAGUAUCGGAGAGGAAAGCGGAAUUCCUAGUGUAGCGGUGAAAUGCGUAGAUAUUAGGAGGAACACCAGUGGCGAAGGCGGCUUUCUGGACGACAACUGACGCUGAGGCGCGAAAGUGUGGGGAG
rnacentral:rRNA from 1 species